AGACUGGAGUAUCCAUGCUCACUGCUUAGCUGUCUUAAACUGGAGGCCAACCUUCAGCCUCAACUUGGCCCAAGAUGCUCACUGGGUCCUCAUGAUGAGACCCAGAGCAGACCACCCUGCCUCCCUAGCCAGUGCUGCCUGGGUGCAGCUCAUGCAGGAUGAGUGGGUUAAGACCUUUAUUUGGGGACCACUACUGUCCGGGACUUCAGAGGAAUUCAGUAUUAUUCUCUCUUCUGAAGAUGAAGAGACACAAUCUUGCAAACAAGCCCUUCUCACCAGGCCUUGGACAGCGGCUCGUGCCAAUUCUGGCCUCAAAUGCCAGCCAGCUUUGGAAAUUAGACUGGUCUUCUGCAAGCCCUGGCGGGGAGUACGAGCGCUGGUUUGUGAGGUGUGGAAAGCCAAUCUGCUUAUGGCACAAGACUUCCGGAUAACCGCAGCCAAGUGCAGAGAGGGAAAAACAGCCUCCAAGGUAACCAGGGUGUAGCCAAGAAAGAACAAGGCUGCCACCCAACCUUGACUCUGCCUCCCCCGGGCUGGCCAGGCCCCUGAGGGGACAUAAGGAGACGUGGUCCGGGCACAGGACCUGUGAGAUUGGAGACUGAAACUGGCCUUUUGAGAGAACAGGACCAAAGCCAGAAACUCCCAGAGACACUCGAGAUGGCUCGUUUUCCCAGAGGGAGGCCCAUGUCACCUCCUGAGCCACCGCGAGCUGCUGUUAUUGUCACAUUUCAGAAAUGCAUGGAAA
ensembl:lncRNA